AUUGAACGCUGGCGGUAGGCUUAACACAUGCAAGUCGAGCGGGGUGAUGGUGCUUGCACUAUCACUUAGCGGCGGACGGGUGAGUAAUGCUUAGGAAUCUGCCUAUUAGUGGGGGACAACAUCUCGAAAGGGAUGCUAAUACCGCAUACGUCCGACGGGAGAAAGCAGGGGAACGCUUGUGACCUUGUGCUAAUAGAUGAGCCUAAGUCGGAUUAGCGAGUUGGUGGGGUAAAGGCCUACCAAGGCGACGAUCUGUAGCGGGUCUGAGAGGGUGAUCCGCCACACUGGGACUGAGACACGGGCCAGACUCCUACGGGAGGCAGCAGUGGGGAAUAUUGGACAAUGGGGGGAAACCUGAUCCAGCCAUGCCGCGUGUGUGAAGAAGGCCUUAUGGUUGUAAGGCACUUUAAGCGAGGAGGAGGCUUACCUAGUUAAUACCUGGGAUAAGUGGACGUUACUCGCAGAAUAAGCACCGGCUAACUCUGUGCCAGCCGCCGCGGUAA
rnacentral:rRNA from 1 species